GUUAAGCAAUAGCGAAUGCGCCGCUCAGGCUACAGGUUGAGGUUGGUGGCGAGCACUGGACAAACCUGCAUCCGCGAGCGAGCGUGACGCCGCAGCUCCGUUGCCAGCGAGCCGCGAUGGCAACUGCUAGCCGGAGCAGCGGAGAGCGGCCAAGUCAGCGUAGUGCGAAGACUACCCGACUCGGCUACUGGCCGCGCCGUCGGCGUACAGCAGCGCGAAUCGACAGUUGAGCACCGAGCGGUGACCGCACGCGCUCGCAGCAAGUGUUCGACGUCGUUGCACGGCAGCAGCAGUCGACGACGACGAUACCGCCCGCCUUGCUGCGGCGGGCACCGCUCGACCGACGGCGGCAAACGUUGCUGACACACUGCUACCGUCAGGUGAGCUGCCGGUAGCGGCGUCUUUGCCGUUCGACAACUGCCGGUUCGACGCG
rnacentral:misc_RNA from 1 species